GUCGAGAAUCUUUCACAAUGGGGGCAACCCUGAUGGAGCGACGCCGCGUGGAGGAUAAGGUCUUCGGAUUGUAAACUCCUGUCAUGCGUGAACAAGGUUGCUUGGUUAAUACCUGGGCAAAUUGAUGGUAACGCAAGAGGAAGAGACGGCUAACUCUGUGCCAGCAGCCGCGGUAAUACAGAGGUCUCAAGCGUUGUUCGGAAUCACUGGGCGUAAAGGGUGCGUAGGUGGCGUGGUAAGUCAGAUGUGAAAGCCCGGGGCUCAACCUCGGAACUGCAUCCGAUACUGUCAUGCUAGAGUACUGGAGAGGUGACUAGAAUUCUCGGUGUAGCAGUGAAAUGCGUAGAUAUCGAGAGGAAUACCAAAGGCGUAGGCAGGUCACUGGACAGUUACUGACACUGAGGCACGAAGGCCAGGGGAGCGAACGGGAUUAGAUACCCCGGUAGUCC
rnacentral:rRNA from 1 species